rnacentral:rRNA from 1 species
GCCAGCAGACAUAUCACUCUGCAACUGGCAACCCACUGAAGCUAAGCAGGUGUGAGCCUGGUCAGUACCUGGAUGGGAGACAUCCUGGGAAAAACUAAGGUUGCUGCUGGAA